rnacentral:rRNA from 1 species
UACGUAGGGUGCGAGCGUGUCCGGAAUUAUUGGGCGUAAAGAGCUCGUAGGCGGUGUGUCACGUCGGCCGUGAAAACCUGCAGCUUAACUGUGGGCGUGCGGUCGAUACGGGCAUCACUGGAGUUCGGCAGGGAGGACUGGAAUUCGUGGUGUAGCGGUGAAAUGCGCAGAUAUCAGGAGGAACACCCGUGGCGAAGGCGGCCCCCUGGGCCGAACCUGGACGCUGAGGCGGCGAAAGGCUAGGGGAGCGAACGGGG